GAUGAAGAACGUAGCGAAAUGCGAUAAGUAGUGUGAAUUGCAGAAUUCCGUGAAUCAUCGAAUCUUUGAACGCACAUUGCGCCUCCUGGUAAUCCGUGAGGCAUGCCUGUCCGAGCGUCAGUAAAAAGCAACUCGGCCGCGGCUGGCGGUUGGUGAUGGAGGAAGAGCACGUCUCGUUGUCGGUCUCCCCUCCCAAAAUCAACGGCGGAAUGUCACUGGCACUCGGUGUUGUAGUAUUAUUCGCCGAUCACCCAUUGUUGUUCCUGCCGCCCAAACCCCCACAAUUCUCUUGAUUGACCUCGGAUCAGGUAGGGAUACCCGCUGAACUUAAGCAUACAAUAAGCGGAGGA
rnacentral:misc_RNA from 1 species